GAUGAACGCUGGCGGCGUGCCUAAUACAUGCAAGUCGAGCGAACAGACGAGGAGCUUGCUCCUUCGACGUUAGCGGCGGACGGGUGAGUAACACGUAGGUAACCUACCUAUAAGACUGGGAUAACUUCGGGAAACCGGAGCUAAUACCGGAUAAUAUUUCGAACCGCAUGGUUCGAUAGUGAAAGAUGGCUUUGCUAUCACUUAUAGAUGGACCUGCGCCGUAUUAGCUAGUUGGUAAGGUAACGGCUUACCAAGGCAACGAUACGUAGCCGACCUGAGAGGGUGAUCGGCCACACUGGAGCUGAGACACGGUCCAGACUCCUACGGGAGGCAGCAGUAGGGAAUCUUCCGCAAUGGGCGAAAGCCUGACGGAGCAACGCCGCGUGAGUGAUGAAGGUCUUCGGAUCGUAAAACUCUGUUAUUAGGGAAGAACAAACGUGUAAGUAACUGUGCACGUCUUGACGGUACCUAAUCAGGAAGCCACGGCUAACUACGUG
rnacentral:rRNA from 1 species